rnacentral:misc_RNA from 1 species
GCUCAAAUCGACAACGGUAGAGCCCGAGGUUUGCUCUUUUUUUGCAUACCCACUGGCCCAAUUUCAACACACACUGCUCAUUCCCACGCUGUUCGACCCCAUCCGAACCCCAGCAAGCUCUCCAGCGGAGCGGAGCCACCGGCUCGGCGGCUGCCUGCGUGCGGGCCGCGUGACCCGGCGGAAGCACACCGGCUAUCAGGGCAUCACUGCAUCAGGCACCGGCAAGCAAACAACAGUCCAGCAGACAUUAGGCUUGCUAGCUACUAGUUUCUCUUUAAGUUUUCAGCUACAUCUACAUGGUGAUACAACCUGGCCAGUGCAUUAUCACCGGCGGCAGCCGGCAGCAGCCAACAUGCAACAACACUGCAGCAGGGGAGCAGCAGCGGCAUCGAGCAACACCAGAAGAAAACAAUGCAGAGUUGAGGGAGAAGAUUAUUAGUUUGGAGAACGAGGUUUCGAGUUUGGAAGCAGAAGUAGCUCACAUGGAUGAAUUGGCGAUGAAUGUUGCUAAGUUGUGAGAGAAGGAUCUGUUGCUGCAAGGGAAGAAUGAUUUGCUGCUUCCCCAUGCGACUACUGUUUUUUUCUUCAGUGAUCCUUUUAGCCUGUUGGUGCUAUCCCUUUGUCGCAAGUGUCGAGUAGGCUGUUAGUGAUCUUUUUAGCCCUUAGUGUCAAGUAAGUGAUGAAUUAUGUCAUUAUGGAACUUCAAGUAGCAGUGGAGCGGCGGUGGCUGGCAUGCAGCUGUGUGGUAGCACCAGAGGCCAAUCGAGCACUACUGCUCAUGUCUGACAGCCAAACCUCAGCUCCCCCGUUCUGAUGAUUUCAUGUGGAAGCCCGACCUACUGCAAUGGGCAAAGUUGUUCCUUGAUCAAUGCGCUACACAUUUUGUGUAAGAAUCAUGUUUCAAAUUGACUUAAUUUGAGAGGUCAAGGAACUUAAACCUAGGCUCAAACUAAGUGUGCUCUUACUGAAAAUGACUUGAGUUUCAGUUAAACUGAAACUGCAGUGUUCACUGCUACUACCAGAAGUUCGAAUAUCAUAUUUGCUACUAGCACAAGUCAGUAAGUAUCACACCCGGAUUUAAG